CAAGAAGAAGACAGGUGAAACUGCUAUAACUCCAUUUAGGUAACUGCAAAGAAAUAUGCAUCUCGUGGAACUUCUUCCAUUAGAAAAAACAAAGAGACUAAGCACACAAGUAAAGCUGCUCCUCUACAAGCCUGCUAUCAAGCAGAAGGAAGAAAUAAAAGGAAAUCAAUUUGUCCACCUGAAAGACAGGCAGACAGGUUGCCCAAGUUAUCUGUCAGGCCAGGCUUCUUGCAAGUGUUCCUGCUUCCUCCUGGCAUUGGGAUUAUCACUACUACUCAACAAUCUCUAUUCCUCCAUGACAUUUGUACAGUCAGCACCUGGCCCUUUUAACACCCAGAGCAUCAUUUAAGGCAAGGAGUUUCACUAGUUACCCACAAAACAUAUAAAGCCACAUCUCCUGCUGUUUGAUUCUGAACCUGUAAACCAGCAACCUCUGCUGACACCUCCCAGUUCUUGAAUUGGAAGAGACAUUGAACAACUGCUUCCUCAACAUGUUCUACAAACUAUCACCACAUCUUCCUCUUAGUCACCUCUUCUUUAAGUUGAAAGAUAAGUAGAUAAUAUUGUUUCUCGUAAGAAAAUUGUCCCUGUUUGAUAAUCCUUGUUGCGACUCUCUGUACCUCUCAGUUCUUCUGCAACAAAAGGAAGGGUAAGAAAAGCAAGAACAUCCAAUCAAAACUCCAUAUAGUAUUUAAGAUACAGUACAUUAUGGAUUCAUACAUUAACAUAAUUUUUUUUUUAAUCUCCAUUCUUCAUUAGAUGUCAGGAGUUAUUAGAAAAUAACUCUAAUGUAGCUGGUCUAAAACAACUGCGUGUUCAAAAACUGCAUCAUAAAGAGAUUACAGAAACCUGUAUCAUCAAGAUCACACAGGUAUUUAAACUAAGGCUGGUACCUGAACAUAGCAGCAUUGGUAACACCAGCUUUCAGAGAACACUGCAAACCAAUUUUUCUUUACUUAAUACUAUUUUUUCCACCUAGAAUAAAGAUAUUCACGUUAGCUGUUGGACAAGAAUGAUGUCUGAGAAAUUUCAAGCAGUAUUUCUCCAUCUGUAUUCUAUGAA